UGAGGAAUAUUGGUCAAUGGUCGGGAGACUGAACCAGCCAAGCCGCGUGAGGGAUGAAGGUACAGAGUAUCGUAAACCUCUUUUGUCAGGGAACAAAAGGCGCCACGCGUGGCGCUCCGAGUGUACCUGAAGAAAAAGCAUCGGCUAACUCCGUGCCAGCAGCCGCGGUAAUACGGAGGAUGCGAGCGUUAUCCGGAUUUAUUGGGUUUAAAGGGUGCGUAGGCGGCGAGUUAAGUCAGCGGUAAAAGCCCGGGGCUCAACCCCGGCCCGCCGUUGAAACUGGCUUGCUUGAGUUGGAGAGAAGUAGGCGGAAUGCGCGGUGUAGCGGUGAAAUGCUUAGAUAUCGCGCAGAACUCCGAUUGCGAAGGCAGCCUACCGGCUCCAGACUGACGCUGAGGCACGAAAGCGAUGGGUAUCGAACAGGAUUAGAUACCC
rnacentral:rRNA from 1 species